rnacentral:rRNA from 1 species
UCCGGAGGGUGCAAUCGUUAAUCGGAAUUACUGGGCGUAAAGCGCACGCAGGCGGUUGGAUAAGUUAGAUGUGAAAGCCCCGGGCUCAACCUGGGAAUUGCAUUUAAAACUGUCCGGCUAGAGUCUUGUAGAGGGGGGUAGAAUUCCAGGUGUAGCGGUGAAAUGCGUAGAGAUCUGGAGGAAUACCGGUGGCGAAGGCGGCCCCCUGGACAAAGACUGACGCUCAGGUGCGAAAGCGUGGGGAGCAAACAGG